UAUUCCCCCCCAAUCGUGUUAGAAAUGACAGAGUUGCACCAGGCAGCUGCUGCUGGAGACUUUGAUCUAGUGGAGGAGAUUCUGAACAAGAAGAAAUGUAACCCCAAUCACAGAGACAUAGACUGGAACUACAAGACACCGCUUCACUGGGCAGCAGCCAAAGUCCCUGUUUCCCAGGACAGACAGAGACUGUUAGAAUUCUGGUGGAGCACGGAGCCAGAGCCUGCCUGAGAACUGAUAGUGGAUGGACACCUGCCCACUUUGCAGCCGAGGCUGGGAGACUUGGAGUGCUGCGCCUGCUCCACUCAUUACACGCCCCCAUAGACAAAGAGGACUUCUCUGGUGAUAAACCAGUCAGAAUAGCAGAAGUCUAUGGACAUAAUGACUGUGUUCGAUUUCUUGAAAGUGCAGAGCCAGAGUGCAGGACCUACCGCCAGAUGGCAGUGUUAAACAGCUUUCCCUUGGACGACACGGACAAGGAAUGGGAGGCGCAGAGAAGAUAGGAACUAAACAGGACUGCAAAACAAGGGAUUACCACACCUCAUUAACAAAAACAUUAUUUGGAAAACAGCUAGUAUAGUUUACCCGAACCAAUUAAAAAAAUGUUACACCACGAAAAAUACAGACAUUACAUACAUUUCAUUGGUCAUACAGUAUGAAAAACUGUUCUGGACACUUACGAUAGAUACAAACAGGUGUAGGUUACACAUUAUGCAAUUCAUUUUCCAAAUGAUUAAUUCCUAUGAUGUAAUUUUCCAUUCUACAUAACAUCUAAUAUAUAGGCUAUAUUACAACAGAAAAAUAAGGCCACAAUUCUAAUAAAUGAUACAUGUAGGACAUUGCACGUACUUUCUCAGUGUCAGAAUUUCAGUUGAUUAGUAUGGGGUUUAAUUUAGAUGUAAACUAAGCCUAGAUGAAUAAACAGUAUAGAUAUACAACAUAUAAAAUAAAAAAAAGAAACAGAAUUGUCAAAAUAUCAUUUUGACUUCAUCGUUGAUGCCAGUUUGGAACUUUCACUCACUGCUGAUUGUACCUGCUGGUGAAGAGUGAAAUAGAUAAAUAAUCAAUUAGCUAUGACAUUACAUCCAGUUGGUUUAGACCAAUAAAUAAACUGUGAUUUGUAAACUCACUUUUAGGUUGAAAUAUUUCAGUAGUGCAACACGAAUCUGUUUGGAAGGAACACAUAUUUUUUUUAUUGGAAUGGGUUUUUGUUUUGCUACAUAUUUCAGUCUCAUUCAUCAGGUAUUGUUGCCUGGUUACCCAUCCACAUCACUCCAGCCAAACGCCACACCCACUAAUGUUUCUUCUCCAACCGAGUGGGUGCGUUCAGUUAGAUUAAACUUUUGCAUGGUUGUGUAAACAGUUUGUACUGAAUGACACGUUUCCCCAAAAUGUUCUCGAACUGACUGAGGUAUGUUUUCUCUGUUUGGUGGGUGCGGUGUGGCUUGAAGCAAUAAGUGAUAUAUUUACAGGCCAGCAGCCAUGCUGACAGCGUUUCCCAACCCACAACCCAAUAAAUUAUUUGAUAUUGAGAUAAAAACGGCUGUAUUGGAC